rnacentral:rRNA from 1 species
GACGAACGCUGGCGGCGUGCCUAAUACAUGCAAGUCGAACGCAGUGGGGACGGGUGAGUAACACGUGGGUAACCUCCCAUCAGAGGGGAUAACACUUGGAAACAGGUACUAAACCGAAAUUGAUGGAUGGCCCCGCGGUGCAUUGGCAAGUUGGUGAGGUAACGGCUCACAAAGGCCACGAUGCAUAGCCGACCUGAGAGGGUGAUCGGCCACACUGGGACUGAGACACGGCCCAGACUCCUACGGGAGGCAGCAGUAGGUAAUCUUCGGCAAUGGGCGCAAGCCUGAUGCAGCCAUGCCGCGUGUAUGAAGAAGGCCUUCGGGUUGUAAGACUUUCAGCGAGGAGGAACGUUACUCGCAGAAGAAGCACCGGCUAACUCCGUGCCAGCAGCCGCGGUAAUAC